CCUCGCCUCCCUCCUUUUCCCUCGUCGUCUAUGUUUCCUCUAUCCCCGGUCAUGGCUGCCGCCUCGGCGAGCUCACCAAGCACGCCUUCUCCAAGGCGUGGUUAGUCCUUGCCUCCCUCCUUUCCCCUCGUCGUAAAUCAUCCCGACAGAACAAGUGCUUCUUUAGUAAAAAUGCAUACCACUGUUGCUACUGUGGUGACACAACCGUGCCAUAGUUCAUGCUGAGGAAAUCCACAAGCAACAACUCAGUUGUCCACAAAAAAUUGGAGGGAAAAAGGAUCACCGUUUCAAUCGAGCCUUGUUUACAUUCACAGUUUCGUUUUCCUGUUGUUGCACCAGAAGUGUAUGCCCAUCUGUUGUUUAGGCAAGUGUUUUUACUGUUGUUGCACAGAAGUGUAUGUCCAUCUGUUGUAGCACGCUUGGGUUUUGAGGGGAUUGGGUGGCCUAAAGGACCAUGCAUGUUA